rnacentral:rRNA from 1 species
GGAACCUACGGGACGCAGCAGUGAGGAAUAUUGGUCAAUGGGCGGAAGCCUGAACCAGCCAAGUCGCGUGAGGGAUUAAGGCCCUGCGGGUCGUAAACCUCUUUUGCCGGGGAGCAGAGGUCCGGACGUGUCCGGGCCGGGAGAGUACCCGGAGAAAAAGCAUCGGCUAACUCCGUGCCAGCAGCCGCGGUAAUACGGAGGUGGCAAGCGUUAUCCGGAUUUAUUGGGCGUAAAGGGAACGCAGGCGGUCUUUUAAGUCUGAUGUGAAAGCCUUCGGCUUAACCGGAGUAGUGCAUUGGAAACUG